AAACAUCUUUUCUUGUUAGUUUUUGAAGUAUGGCCUGCCCGCUGACAUUGAGUGUUGAAGGGCCGCGGUAUUUUGACCGUGCAAAGGUAGCAUAAUCAUUAGUUCUUUAAUUGUGAUCUGGAAUGAAUGGCUUGACGAGGCACGAGCUGUCUUAAUGUUGAAUGUUUUAUUGAAUUUGGUCUUUGAGUUAAAAUUCUUAGAUGUUUUUAUGGGACGAGAAGACCCUAUAGAGUUUGACAUUUGGUUUAUUUAUUUGUUGGUUGUUUGUUUAUUUUGUUGGUGAGUAGGCUUUUUGUUUUGUUGGGGUGAUGAGAGGAAUGUAGUUAACUCUUCUUUGUUUUGAUUAUAUUUAUUUAUAGUUAUUUGAUCCAUUUAUUUUGAUUAUAAGACUAAAUUACCUUAGGGAUAACAGCGUAAA
rnacentral:rRNA from 1 species